rnacentral:rRNA from 1 species
CCCUUAGAUGUUCUGGGCUGCACGCGUGCUACACUGAUUACUUCAACAAGUGUUUUAACUGGAGAGUUCGCGUAAUCCUGAAAUGUUAUCGUGAUGGGAGUAGAGUAUUGUAUUUGUUAAUCUUUAACGAGGACUUCCUAGUAAGUGUAGGUUUAUUUGUUUUUUUUUUUUACGUCCCUGCCCUUUGUACACACCGCCCGUCGCUCCUACCGAUUGAUUGAUCCGGUGAAUUACAUAGAAUUUUGCGUUUUACAUGACGGAAGAUGAAGUGUUUUAAACCUUAUCAUUUAGAGGAAGGAGAAGUCGUGACA